GCGGCGGCGAGUCCGGCGGCAGCGGCCGGCGGCUCAUGUAUAAAAAGGAGAGAGGAGGCGCCUCUCGCAGCCCUGCCGGAAAACUGCAGGCAGCCGGCCCUGAUUGGGCUCGACCAACUCUAAACAAACACGGGGCUCCGCAGGAGUGCCAGUCCCGGGGCCAGCCGGGCCGCCGCGGGCGGGGGGGCACCUCGGGGCGCCCGCAGAGAAGGGGCGACAGAUCCCUGCUCGGGGAGCGGGGAAGAGCAGUGAGGGUUCGCCCUGCCAGAUACUCCAGCCUUUUUUCUUCCUUUUUUUAAAAUUUAUUUUUCACCCAGAAACAAUACACACUCUUCCCUCCUUCCCAGAUAAUACUUCUUUUUUUUUCUUUUUUUUUUUUUAUGGUGAAUAUUCAAUUUCUGUAAGGUUUUUCUCCGCGCCUCCCGGCAUGUGAGCGAACGUCCCCUGGCAGCGGCCCGCGGGGAUGUGUGUUUGGCUUUCGCCCUAAGCAACCAGGCGAACGUAUCCCUCCCUCAAAUCUCCUUAGUUUUUGCUCGUCAAAAUCCGAGCUAUCUGAGAUGAAAAAAUGUGGCUCCUCCUUGAGUUGCCCCAACCGUCAGGCGAAGCCAAGGCAAGCUGUGGGAUGUGUCCAUCCCAACAGCUGGCGGUAGGCAUUUUUCCUCCGUUUCUUUCUUAUUACCCCCCCGCUCCUCAACUCUCUUAUCUCAGCUGUGUACAAACUGAUAUGGUACUUAGCAGGAAAGUGACUGGAAAUUAAAAUAACUUCGUUCACCAGAGGUUAUCAGCUGGAUAUCUGUCAUCAUCAGUUUGUACAGAAAGAGUCAUCUGCGGCAAAGGGCUGGACUAGAGCAGAGCCGGGCUCUCGGCAGCCAACAGGCAUGAGCCCUCCCGACAGAACCCGAGCCCAAACCUGCUGAUGCGCGGUGCUGUCGCUCCUGGGUCAGGUUUUCAUGUCUCCACUGACAUCCCGAGCCACAGAACUGCAGGGGGAAGCAGCCCUGGAGGACCUUCAGCAUGAGCUGAGAGCAACCUGCUGCACACCGGGAGAUGGUGACCUUCUGCGGGCUGCGGCUGAGGCGCUGCUUUGCACGGUGCAAAAUACAUAACAACAACAAUACCUCAGGCUGAAUUUAGGAAAUUCGAUUUUCAAGCUGACUGUUUUCUCUAUCAAGCCUUGGAAAGACUUGAUAGCUCCUAAGGGCAUGUGAAACCAUACUGACCACCCUGAGUCUUAAAAUCCUCAGAAGGACAGCAUCCAGCAAUGCAAAGCAUGAGACUAUUACUUCUUGCAUUUGCACAUCAUUGUUAUCUACUUGAAACUGUAGCUGAAGGAAAGACAAGGAAAACCACAGGGAUGACUUCAUGUGGCUACCAGGGAAAAUUUGCAAUUGCCUUAAUGUGGACAAUAUUAUUUUUUGUCAAUGCUUACAGGGCAGUGUGAGGGGGCAGCUUGGCACCGUAUGUGACAUUCACGCAGAGUAGCAAGUUGGUGUCAUGAGCAGAAGUUUGGGUGGUUAGGGGUUUUUUUUGCAAGUGCUUCGCUUUUUUCCCCAAUAGACCUGGGCAAAGUUUUGUGUAAUUUUCCAGUGACCUUGAUUAUGCAAUUGGGUAUGGCUGCUGCCCUAGACGACAUCAAAGAUGCCACUCUCAUCAGGUGGCAGGCAGCCCUAGCCAGGCGAGGGACACCGCGAAGGCACCCGGCAGUGCCAGGGGCAGAUGGCUCUCCAGCCUGCCUUGUUUGAUGAACUUCUCCUGGGGAAGCUCUUAUUGCUCCCACUCUGGUUUUUUGAGGACGGGAAGUUACAGGGCUGGCAGUCAUAAAACACACAGAGGCAUCAUCAGGUAGCUGAUGAAAUACUGCAAAUCAACUGGAUUAUUUAUUUCCCCCUUCAAACAAAGAGAGGAAGGUCCUAAUCCAGAAACAGCACGUGCUUAACUCCAACCAGGAGCUCAAACCCCACUGAAAUCAAAGGGUUAAAUUCAGCCCCCUUUGAAGUCAGCAAGGGCAACCCUUCAUCUCAACAGGGCCAGUUCUUCCUCCCAGCACUAGGCGCUUUGAUGAGUCCACGCUGUAACACACAAACAAGGUGCAAAGCACCAUCAUCGCUUCCAGGCUCCCUCCCUGAUGCCGACACAACCCUUUUGAGCCAGGCUGGAGCCGCGGCUGGGACACGGCCCUUCCACCCUUUCUCCUAUAAACCAUCAGGAAUAUCAGGUGAGAAACACCCGGCUCCUCUCUGCAAGCCUGGCCAUGGGCAAACAGUAAAGAGCGAUGACCCUGCAGAGGCAAUGGGGUGAGGGAAGAAGAAGUGAUGUUGCCCCAAACUUUCUUUGCCAUGGGAGUCACUGAUCAUGCUUGAUAAACCUCCUCACCAACCUCAUAGGUACAGAGGAAACCAAUUACAGUCUCAAACUGAAAAAAUGUGGCUAACAUUACCCAGAAACCCUCCCCUUACUGUCAGAUUCUCUUUCAAUGUUACCGUAAUUUUACCCUUCCCCCAAAGACAGAUGAAAGCCACCUACACCCAGUGUUUCAGGUGGUUGAAUGUUAGCUGUUUUUGUGGUAGGACCUGGAAAAACUAAGCUAUGAGAGGUUUGUACCUGGCUCUCUUUGAAUACUUCUCUCUUUUUAGUCCCUUUUCCACAAUUUCUCUUCUCUUCCCUGAAAGCCUGGGAGGGAGAUCUUAGCAAGCAGGUGAUCUGUCUCCCAAAUGCUCUUGACACAAGUGAAAAUUGCCCGUUAAUCCUUGGGUUUCAGAAUUUUUUUGCAUUAAGAAUUUUCUGAUCAAAGCAAGUUCUUUGCAAAGCAUCUUUUUUUUUCUUUUUUCUUUUUUUUUCUAUUUUUUUUUUUUUUUCCCCCCGCUGAAAAAGGCAGAAAAUUGAGUGAAAAAUAAGAAGGAAGAAAAAGAAAAGAUAAGGUCUGGUCAAUCAAGCCCCAGGUCUCUUGUCUCCAGUUUGUGAUUAUGUUUUAUGAUCUCAGACACAACAGAUUGUGAGCCUGCAAUGUUUGGAAAUAGUAGAUGAUUAAACCUUCUGGCCAGGUGUAAAUGCAACCUUUGUCUUCUGAUGACUGUGUGAGAAUUACCUUCCUUCUCAAAGUCCCUGGCUGGCCCUUCUCUCUUCACUGUUACAAACACCCUUGCUUGGAGCUACAACUUCAAUGUGCUUCCACUUUAUUCUCAUCUAUCCACAGGCACCAUCGCAACUCAUACCACUCUAACUGUCCUGAGACAGAGGGAAAAAAAAAAUGCUGAGCAAGCUACUAAAAAUGUGAAAGAGUGUGGCCUGUGAGUUUUUCUACUUCUUCACCCAGGGAGAUUUUGUACCAAGUAAAUAAUAAAAAAUGUGUAAUGAUUGACUAGGCUUUUAAACCUGAGCUGAAGGUAAGUUUGCCUUGCCGUUGCAGUUAAAUAUUCUCACUAGCCCCCUUCUCUUUCUCCAGUUGAUCAUGCCACGAAGUCCCAUUCAGCCUGAUGCAUUCUUUAUUCUUUAGAAAUUUGGGCAACAGUCAAAUCUGACCUUUAGAGCCAUAAACAAAUUAAAUUGUUUCACAACCAAAUAAUAUGAAACAAUAUUGAAUAGCUAGGCUUCCGCCGAGUUUCCUCUUAAAGAGAAAGAAGCUCUGAAACAGCACAGAUGUGGGAGAUGAUAGAAGGAGAGAGAUGGAGGACAGGGCAUGCUGAUAACCCACACAGCAAUGAGAUGGCAAAGCACUGGGGUUUGGCUAGGGACUGAUGGGUAUUAGCACGUUGGAAAAUGCUGUGAGAGGCACUUAUUAAUUAUUCCCUCUUCUGGGAGCUGAGCGCUGCCUGAGAGCCAUACCCCGCUGCAGAGACCCCAGUGCCAGCAGCGCCUUGUGCUCUGGCUGUGCUUCAAGGUGAAACCCAAAAGUGGCCAAAGCAGCCUUGGUGCCACUGGGUCAGAAACCAUUUCUGCUCUCCACUGUUUGCCUGAACUUUGGCUGCAUGCAGUCCAGCCUUCCUGCACACACAGCACCCGCUGCCAUACGCGGUCCCUCUGACACGGGUGAGGGGCAGGGCUGUGUCACCUGCUGUCAGCUCUGCAGGGACAUCCUUGAGAGCAGGGCCAUUCCCUUCCCCUUGGCUUGGGUGCAUGCAAGAAGCUGACAGCUGCCGAGGUGUCGAGAAGUGAGCCCUCUUGGUUCAGCACCUUUGUGGAGCAUUGCUGGAAUGCAAAGCAUCUGGAGCAGAUGUGGAAACGUGAUAAGGCUCCUUGCUGUCCUUAAAAACACUAUGAAGUGGCCGGGUAGGGAUUCCCCUGGCAAAGGGAGAUUCCCCACCUGGCACCAAGCAGACCUCAGUCGCCAGUGAGGCUCUGGGACCACCACAGGCAGCCCACCCUCAGGCCCCCAGGGAGACGUCUGCUGUGCGUGGCACCCAGUUGCCUGCUCACCCUAUGCCCUUUGCAAAGGUACACCCCAGCUGGGGACAGGCCACCCUCUCCUCCCUUGCCUGUGCAGGCAGUAACACAGUUUAUGCAUAAAGGCACCAGACAGAGGAAGAAUCAGAGCAAUAAAAGGUGUUCUGGGCCAACACAAGCUGCACAGUACUGCAGCUAUAUUGGGAAGGUGGGACCCACAGGCCCCUUGCUGACACCACAGCUGGCAGAGGCACCCCUGUAUCCCUGGGCACCCAUCAGCACAACAACAGCCCAUCUGUGGGACACCACCCAGCAUCUACACCAGCACCUGGACCCCCACAUUCAGUACAAAGAGAUCCCAAACCACAAUUAAUUCUUUCCCUUCAUGAUGUCUGCACACACGAUACAAGCAACAAUCUGUUCAUUGGAGGUGUACAAAUGACACUCAGAGCUGCUGCUUUUCCCUGAGGCUGGACACCUGAACUGCCAUUACUGUCACUGAUAUUACAAGCUUUUAAUUACCUUCAGGUUUGUGCCAUUUACAAAGCAGAGGUGAAAGACAUGAAGCACAUUUAGAUGCCUUAAUUAACUUGAAGAAUUAUGAAGCCGUGCCAGUAACAGAAAUAUAGUUUUGCCUUUUGUAAACCAUUUGACAUAAGAAUGAUGAGUCUAAGAAUAAGAUGUAGGAAUACAUCUAAAUAUUUAUACUACAUUCAUUACACCAGUAUCUGAGCACAUGUUUGUGUUGUAACUUCCACUUUUACAGCUGCUAAUUUUGCUUUGCUGUGUAACCCCGGGUUAGUCACUGCUCAGUGCCACGGUGCCCUUCUGCAGGGACUGACUGGGGUUCGGGAUGACUCAGGGUAAAGCUCUUUCCCUGGACCAUGCAUUUCCCUGCUCUUGGUGCAAGACUUGCUGAGGCUUCAAAACCAGGACAAAGGAUUGAACAGACUCCUGACCUAAACCAAGCUGGCAACCCCUGCCUUGCAUAGCCCCAACAAACUGAACCUCCUCACGUCGUAUUUCAAAGUCCUCUGACACAGGGCAAGGAAAUGCUGUGGCUGGGAUCCAGUAGCUGCUGUCAUCAAAAUGCUGACAGAAACAGAGGUUAAGGGUACUAAAUAUUUCACUGUUAACAUAGACAAUGUAAUGUGCUUUCUUGAAGUUUGGGGAGAGGGGAACUCUGCCAGCAAUGAUCCUGAAAUACAUGCAAAGCUGUAAAAAUAACUUUGAAUAAGGUUUUAGAAAUCUUCUAACUAGAUGAAAUAAAUGUGCAUUUUGAUCAAAUAUGUUUUAAUUUAAAAUAUUAACCAGUAAAGUGAAGAAGACUAAUUUUGGGGAACAAAGUUAACAUGCAUGAUUUUGAAAAGUUCAAAACAGAACUAAAAUAUUUUUGCUUAUAAAUUUUUAUCCAGAAUAAUCCAUCUAAUUCUACAAUUAUUGUAGUAAAAAGAAAUGUUAGCAAUUAUACACUCUCACAUACACAGGAAUUUACCUUUUUUUUUGCCCAUUGAACAGAAUUGCAAGUGCUGCAGGCAGAAUUUUUGACCACAGGGCCUUUUGGAGUUUUUGUAUUAGCAAGCCAAAUGGUUGGACAGGGCAUUUCUAAUUUUUUCUACUAGACACCAUGACACUUGCCCCUUGCCACAUCCCAGAAGAUGUCUUGCAGUCAGCAUCUUCAAGGAGGUGGUUCCAGCAGAGGCUUUCCCCCAGCGUCUUGGAUUCACAUUUCCAGCCCAUCCCUUCUACCCCUCCAGGCAACAGACACGGUGUCAUCACAGUCUCAAUGACUGACAGCUCUCAAAAUAAAGCUUAGUCAUUUAGCAUUGUCACUUUGUUUCUACAA